CCCCUUUCUGGCGCGGCGGUAGUCGCCGUUUCGACACGGCCUUCUUCCUGUGCUGCCUGCGCGAGCCGCCGCCCGUCUACCCCGACUUGGCAGAGGUGGUGGGCUGCCAGUGGUCAUCUCCAUCAGAGGCGACUGAAAGUUUCUUAUCAAAAGAAAUUUGGUUGGCACCCCCACAGUUCUAUGAAGUGAGAAGACUUGCAAACUUCGCCUCUCUCUCUGACUUGCACAGAUUUUGCUUGGAUCGUGCAUUAGAAGGACUGGAAAGGUGGCUGCCGAUCACCUUGUUAACUGCUGAUGGGGCGCUCCAGAUUUUACCAGGUGAUGAGCUAUACUUAGAAGAUUCAGACUUUUUUGAAAAUCUCAUGUCUACUGAAAAAAAGACUGAAGAAAUCAUGAAGGAAGGCAAGCAAUUUCACCGGAUAGUGAUAUACAGUCGCCAUCUUUAUGACAUCCACGUGACUGUUCAGUCAAAGUAUAAACACGUUUAUCCUAAGAACUCUGUACUAAGAAAGAGCCAUUUGUAGGGUGCUCAAGCUUGUUUGUAAACUGGAUUACUUGAAGUCCUCAUGAAUAAUGAGGGUUGAAUUUCACUUGCUGAAAACUUAAGGAAGUUUGUGCCUCUAAAAGUUAUUGUAGGCCAGGUGCAGUGGCUCACGCCUGUAAUCCCAGCACUUUGGGAGGCCGAAACAGGUGGAUCAUGAGGUCAGGAGUUUGAGACCAGCCUGAACAACACGAUGAAACCCCGUCUUUACUAAAAAUACAAAAAUUAGCUCGGCGUGGUGGCGCAUGCCUGUAAUCCCAGCUACUCGGAGGCUGACACAGGAGAAUCACUUGAACCCGGGAGGCGGAGGUUGCAGUGAGCUGAGAUGGCACCAUUGCUCUCUAGCCUGAGUGACAGAACGAGACUCCAUCUCAAAAGAUAAAAUAAAAAAGUUACUGUAAUGCAGUAUUUCUUUUUUAUUUUUAUUUUUUAUUUUGAGACAGAGUCUCACUCUUGCCUAGAGCCCAGGCUGGAGUUCCGUGGCUCAAACUCGGCUUACCACAGCCUCCACCUCAUGGAUUCGGGCGAUUCUCAUGCCUCAGCCUCUUGAGUGGCUGGGACUGCAGGUGUGUGCCACCACGACUGGCUAAUUUUUGUGUUUUUAGUGGAGACGGAGUUUCACCGUGUUGGCCAGGCUGGUCUCGAACUCCUGACCUCAGGUGAUCUGCUUGCCUCGGCCUCCCAAAAUGCUGGGAUUACAGGCAUGAGCCACCGCACCCAGCAUGGUGUUUCUUAUGUCACGUGUUUCAGGGUGAUUUCUUGCUUAUUUUAUUCUUUAAACCUUACAGUAUGCCACAUAUAUGAAGUUUAUAAAGUAUUAAUGACCUUGUUAACCAAAACAAGAACAUAAUUCCACAAGGGUUCCUACUUCUGUAUUAUUAUUUCAAAAAUUUAAAUAACAUGUUUUGCUGCUAUUACGGUUCUUGCUGUCCACUGUAUUAGCGCCUUCCCUCAUGUGCUUUGGAGGUUGAUGAAUUUGUGAGACUUUCUGCUGGAAUUACUUUAAGGGUGGUUUAUUAGAUGGUGAAAAGCAGACUGAGACACCUAUCAAGUGACCAUGUCAUUGUUUUCUUGCUAUGUUUUUAGCUUAAUGAUUAAGAUACAAUUCUUUUUAAAAUGAAAUGGCAUUAGUUACUGUGUUUCCCAAAUCAAAAGUCUAUUUUUGUUAACAUUUUAUUUUAUUGUAUUUUUUUGAGACAAAAUCUCACUCUGUCACCCAGGCUGGAGUGCAGUAUGGCAAUCUCAGCUCACUGCAGCCUCCGCCUCCUAAUAUUCCUGCCUCAGCCUCCAGAGUAGCUGGGAUUACAGGCGCCAGCUACCACGCCCAGCUAAUUUUGAUUUUUGAGAUGGACUUGCUCUGUCGCCAGGUUGGAGUGCAGUGGCGCGAUCUUGGCUCACUGCAAC
ensembl:lincRNA